rnacentral:rRNA from 1 species
UACGGGGGGGGCAAGCGUUGUUCGGAAUUACUGGGCGUAAAGGGCGCGUAGGCGGCCUACUAAGUCGGACGUGAAUCCCUCGGCUCAACCGAGGAACUGCGUCCGAUACUGGCAGGCUGGAAUCCGGGAGAGGGAUGUGGAAGUUCCAGGGUGUAGCGGUGAAAUGCGUAGAUAUCUGGAGGAACACCGGUGGCGAAGGC